AGGGUUAAGUCCAUCUCUAGUGGCUGUCUAGACAGCCACUAGAGGUAGUUCCAUGUUCAUCGAACACGAAAAGCGUCGCUGGAAAUCCCCAUAGGAAAAGCACUGAAAUUAUUAUUCAAUGCUUUCCUAUGGGGAGGUCUAAUGAACGUGUGCGGCCAUUGCCGCGCAUUAGGUCUCCGUCAGUGGGGGAGAGUAGCCAGAGUGUGACCUAGCGCCGAGGGACAUCUGCGCUGGACUCCGGUAAGUCACUAAAGGAGUUUUAAC